GAGGGGAUAGCUCCAUGGUAGAGUGUGUGCUUAGCACGCACAAGGUCCUGGGUUCAAUCCCCACUACCUCCA
rnacentral:tRNA from 1 species